rnacentral:lncRNA from 1 species
CUAGAAAUCCUUUUACAGAGCAUUUUCCAGUCUAAACGUUCAUGGAAAGUUCCUAAAAUCCCGAAAAUUUUAUAACAACUCAGUUCACUUAAAUCUUCACUUUUUCCUCCAAAACCCACGUCUCGAUUACUACACUAAACCUCAAAAAACCAUUCUUUAUCAAAGUUAAUUGUCCUUAUACUGCCUUGGGGGCUGUUUUUGGGGGAGUCAAAUUUAUUCAGAUGAGUGAAUGGGACUGGCCAAGUACGGGCUCCGGGCUCCUAGGAUGGGUGCUGGGGUGGGUCCAAUUUUGGACCGAAUUUUCCAACCCGAAAGGAAUCUGUAAGGGGCUAAAAAAAUUUGUGAUUGGCCUGUAGAGAGCUAAAAAGGUCAUCUUUUUCAG